CUGCAGACGGAGGAGUGAGGCGUGGGCAGCAGGUAACACCGACAAUUACUUUAAAAUUUAAAUUAUAGGAAGAUAUAAAGAAGGCCAUAAAAAUCCACUUAUAAGUCAAUCUGAGACUUUUUCUCUCUUUUUUCUUACUUUUCUUUUUAUUCUUUUUCUUUUCUUGUUUUCAAUCAACGUUGUUCUCGGUAUUUUAUCACCCAAAACAUAGACCGAUUUUGCCUUCUUCAUUUUUACUAAUCGGAACUUUCCUAGCCUCUUCACCUUAGGCUGACCCUCAUGUCCUAUCAGCUUUUGAGGAGCUUUGAACUUUUUAAAAUUUCAAUUAAACAAGAACAGAAUGUUUGUGCCUUCAUCACCCAGUGACGUAGCUCGCAGGCUCAAGCUGCCCCUUCUGCCAAGACAGCCCGUCCUGUCCCCUCUUGUUCACCUGGCAGAUGCUCUUCCUUUCAUUCGUCAAGACACACCUAGACUAUGACUUCAUCGAUGAAGGCUUCUCACCAAUCCCCCAAACAACUGAACAUCGACAGCCCCACCCCAACCCAGCCCUGGACCAGAUGCCAUGUUCUAUUGUGCCUGUGACUGUAAACCCCUUGAAGACAGCAGCCUCUCUUAGCCUGAAGUAGUGUCUUCUAAAGGAACUGUGCUAGGGGUUGGUGCUGGGUGUGAGGAGGGAGCAGCUUCCAGGUGAGGAAGAAGACAGCUAGAGAGAUUGCUUGCCUAGCUAGCCCUGAGGACCUGGGUUUGAUUCCCAGAACCCCACAUAAAGAAAAGCCCACCUUGGUGGAACAUGCUUGCUGGGGAGGCAGAAAAAGAUGGAUCCUUGGGGUUUGCUGACAAGCCUAACAAGCAAGUUCCAGGCCAAGAAGAGCCCCUACCUCAAAAAAAAGUGGGGGGACCUAAGAAAUGACACCCAAGUUUAUCUUCUGCCCUCCAUACACACAGAGAGAAACAAAUUUAAAAAAAAAAUGCACACACAUACAUGAAUUCACGCGCAAACACAAAAGGAAUGGAGAAAGUACUUUCAGUAACACAGCUCCGAGGCCACUUUGUUGGGUGUGGGGAGACCACCUUUUCUGACUCUGAUGGUCCAAUUUGUGAAUGAGAGGAACUGAUUUGCAUCUUAUCAGAGGGGACUUCAGGAACCUGCAAAGAUAGAGCUUUCCCCAUUCUCCAAACUCCCUGUAAAUCCCAGCUGUCCGUGGUGCCAACUCAGCACAGGGCACAGGAUGUGUGGGGAACGUCUCUUGUUGAUGAUUGAGGCAAGCCACACUAAACACCUGAGGAAACAAGUAGCUGGAAGCUCAGCCCGCUGCAUUGAAGGAAGCUGGGAAUUCAUGCUACAACCUGACAAGAGACUCUGUGAAGAGCAGAGCUGGCCCAGGGAAAGCCCUGCCUCGUAAUCCUCCUGGAUAUUUUCAUCACCCACUAAAGAAAUGCUGGAGCUGGUGAGAUGGCUCAGCAGGUAAAGGCACUUGCUGCUGAGACUGGCAACCUGAGUUCCAUCCCCAAGCUCCGAACGGGAGAAGAGGAGAAGCGCUUCCCAAAGGAAGUCCUCUGACCUCCAGCAGAGCACCGUGCCAUGGGGGGUGCAUGCACACUCACACAGAAAUAGAUAAAGUAAUAAAAAAUGUUAUACCUACUCCUAGCCCUUCCCCAUCCCCCAUCCCUGGGCAACCCCAAAAUUACGUGUGUUUCAGUGGGGGGCGUUGCCCAUUCUAGAUCUUGCAUAGAAAUAA